GUCCGCGGCGGGGUCGGAUGAGCUCAGCCAACAUGGCGUCCCGGCCCUGCCGGCGCCCGCCCGCAGCCGGGGGGGGCCGCGCCUCCCCCCGCUCCCGCGGGGUCCCCGCGGCGGGCAGCGCCCGGGGGGCGCCGGGCCGGCCGGCGGGAAGGGCUGCCGGGGCCGCCGGGCGCAGCUUCCCCCGCAGCCGGGAUCCCAUCUGCAUGUAAAUGACCUGUGGAAGCAUCUUCCCCCCCGUGCGAGCGCGGCUCAAUGGCCAUUGAAGCGGAGUCAGACCUACCCCGGGGUGUUAUAUUUAGGGUCUGCGCCUGCAGAGCCAGCGGGAUCCUCGGGAAGGUGCCUUAAAAAGCAGGGGGGGAAAAAUAAAGAGAGCCAAGGGAAAGCGAGAAAGGCAGGAAAAGGGAAGGAAAAAGAAAGGGGGGAUGUUUCGAGGCGCUCCGUAACCGCCGCCGCCGAUAACGAGCGGGAUGUAGAAAUGGAGAUGGAUUUUAUUUGUAUUCUUUUUUUUUUUUUUUAAUUAAAACUUUAGUGGGUCCUGGGGAUCGUGCUCGCUUCGCUUUGCUUUGUAGAAUGGAAAGAGAUACACGGAGAAAAUCAGGCCUUGUCAGGAUUUAUUGAAGUUGGGUUUAAAAAACGUGCUUCAGAUGAUUUUUCCCAUUUUCUCAGAUUUCAAAGGCUCCCCGCAGUGCGGCUGCCUAAUUAAUGGUGAAAUUCAACUAAAUCUAAUUAUGCAGUAAUUUUAAAGCAGUUAGUCCUGGGCGCUGCUUUGUAAUAGGAACCCAGUUUUUAAAGUUUGCUUAAUGUGUUGGUUUAGGGAGCUGGGGAGGAGAGGGGUGUAAGAGACAGCGCUGUGGGGUUUAUUUUUUCCUCUCCCCCCCACCCCCUUCUUUUUUUCCCUUUUGUAAAGGAAAGAAAUGCAAAAUAUAAACCCAAAACACCCGGCGAAAGGCAAGGAGAGAGGCUGUGUUCGCCGCCGUAUGGGAUGCGGGUAUCGGUAAAAUGUCAACAGAUCUGGCGUGGUAACGUGCAGCAGGGAGAGCUCGGGGUGGCUGUGCGGCUCGGGGGGCGAGCCCGGGGCUCCGCUGAGGAGGGCUUGCCUUCUUCCCACCUAGCCCCAAAAUGUCGACGAUAUGUGUAUUCGGUAUCAAAAGUCGUCGAGUUUCGGAGUCCAAGAUGGAUGAUAAAAGGGGGGGAAAUUGUCUCCGAAUUAUCUGUGUGUCGCUUCCUAAGUGCUUGCGAGCGGCUCUUCGGAGCCACACCGCCCCGGAGAGAUGCUGCCCACCUCUGCUGAAAUUUCUCUCUCCUUUUUCUUAGCCCUUGCUUUGAACCCUACCCAUUAGCCUGUAUGCGAAUAAAAGGAAUGAACUCAGAAAGAACCACCAUUCAUUGUUGAAUUCAGCACUGUUAAAAAAAAAUUACUGAAAUGCAGCCACAUAGCGCCCUUAAGAUUAUUUCCCUUUCCUAGAAAGUAGCUGCUAACCUCAGAUUUCUCCUCCCCCCUCCCCUUCCCUAGUCUUAUUUCCCCCCUUGACCACAUCUUUCUCCGAUUCUCCUUGGGAAAAAAAAAAAAAAUCAUGUGCUGAUUUGAUGGAGUCCUUUAAACAACGGGCAUGCAAGAGCUGUGUUCAUUCUGAAGCAUUAACCCUAUUUUCUGAAUUUCCUUCCUUUCAAAUAGCUGCUCGUAUUUUACUAUCCUGGAUCCCAGAUUUAAACAUCCGCGCUUCCAGGAGCUUGUUAGAUAUAUCUAUAUUUUAAUUUAAUUUGAUUUGAUUUGAUUUCGGUAUUGUACUUAAAAUAACAAUAAAUAAACCCGAGAACUUGUGUUUUCCUUUGCAGAGAGUUUUUUAUUCUUCUCUAGAAAUUUCAUUGAGAUGUCUCUGUACUUUGUUUGUCAGUUAUCUUUGUUCCUUUUAAAUAAAGGGCUUUUAAAUGGA